rnacentral:tRNA from 1 species
ACAUUGGUGGUUCAGGUGUAGAAUUCUCACCUUCCGUGUAGGAGGCUUGAGUUCAAUUCCCAGCCAGUGCA